GGCUACGAAAGGAAAAACCUGGAGUCUUUGGGGUGGGGGUGUCUUUUGCUAAGUUUAUAUGGGCUAAGUAAAUUGGAUUGUAGAGAUGCGGCUUUGGGAAAAAUAAUCUCCAUGCAGCAGAAACUCGUUGCGUGACGGACUACCAAUCCCAUCAUGCAACGUUCUGAAUUCGCGGCGUCGUGGUAAAGACUGCUUCUGCAGCCACCCGUGCACUUGAGCCUUGGAGUUUCUGGCCGCACUGGCGACUGGGUUAGUCCACGUGGUAAGUCUGUCAGCAGCUCCGCUCCGCGGCUGAGCGAGGCCCUUUCGCCUGCCGGCGUCAGAAGAGACGGCUGCCAGCUCCGGAGUCGCUCACAGGUGGGGCGGAGGCAGCGCGAGGCUUCGCGACGUUUUUACGACAGCGGCUGCCGUGUUCCGCGCUCGUCCUCUCUCUCCC
rnacentral:lncRNA from 1 species